ACCUGCCCACUGAAAAUUUAAAUGGCCGCAGUAUAUUAACUGUGCAAAGGUAGCAUAAUCAUUAGUCUUUUAAUUGAAGGCUGGUAUGAAUGGUUGGACGAAAUAUUAACUGUUUCAGAUAAAUUUAAUAUAGAAUUUUAUUUUUUAGUUAAAAAGCUAAAAUUUGUUUAAAAGACGAGAAGACCCUAUAAAUCUUGAUAUUUUAUUUUAUUUUAAUUAUAAAGAAUGAUUAUAUUAAAAUAAAAUAAAAUAUUUUAUUGGGGUGAUAUUAAAAUUUAAUAAACUUUUAAUUUGUUAAAUCAUUAAUUUAUGAGUAAUUGAUCCAGUUAUACUGAUUAAAAAUUGAAGUUACUUUAGGGAUAACAGCGUAAUUUUUUUGGAGAGUUCAUAUCGAUAAAAAAGAUUGCGACCUCGAUGUUGGAUUAACAGAUACUUUUAGGUGUAGCCGCUUAAAUUUUAAGUCUGUUCGACUUUUAAAUUCUU
rnacentral:rRNA from 1 species